AUUUCUAAAACGCAAGUCAAGUUCCAUCAUGGUCUGUUCAUAAGCUCCGUAAGGCCAUCCCAUUGCCUAUAAAGUCAAGUCCAAAUGUCUUCGCAUAUGCUAUUUCUGACAGAAAGAAAAAAUUAUCUUAUAACUUUCAAGGCAAAUUUUAUCAGAAAGUUUAACAUUAAUGUAUAACCAGUAUAAGAACAAUUAUAAAGUUAAUACGCCCAAAUUAGAAUAAUUAACAUGCCCGAGGCCUCUUUAAUAUUCUGAAAGAGAUACAAUGACAACUAUGAAAUGAUUCAACUGGUGGCAAAUUACAUGCCACAGAAAGUUUUAUAAUGUAUUUGUAUGGAAAAAAAAGUCCUGUGAUGGAAAAGACAGGGGAGGCAGAGGAGGUGAUGUUAAGUAUUCACAUUGUAGCUAGUUGGUUUUAUGACUUGAGGUAAAGUUUAGAAUCUAAUGUAUCUCAAUACGAUUAUUAUUUUUCAAUUAUCAGACAGAGUAAUAGGCCAUAAGGUCCAAUAGGAUUAUAAUAGGGCAUAAUGUUCAUUGUGUUAGUGAAUUUGGAACAUCAAAUGUGUUGCACCAGUGAAAGGCUACAUAAAGAGAAACAACUUUUGAAAGAGUCAGAUGAGAGAACUACCCCAUGCCCACCCCUAAGCAGUAAAUUUAGAAAAGUUCAUUAGCUUCAGUCUCAAUCUCUUCUCAUUCAUAAAAUGAAGGUAGGAUUAUCAUAGGAAAGAAGUAUAUAAAAUAGCUAGUCCAAUACUAGAGUGGAGAAAUAGUGGAUCACUUCUCUUUUUAUAAUAUUCCUCCUUAAAAUUCCUUGGAUUUGUAUGUAAAACACGCACAUGAAUAAAAUAAGCUAAAAUGGAGAAUAAAAUAUUAAAAUAAAUUUUUUUUACAUCAGAUAUUCAUUGUGAAUCUUACUAACAGGUUAUUUUAUAAUUAAUUAUAUAGCCCUGGAAAAUGGAUCUUCCACUGAAUUAAGAAAAUGAUAGAGGCCUCCUUCCUUUACUGAAGGACUUUCCUUUCAAUAUCCCUGCAAACCCCUCCUCCCAACCGUGAUCCAACUGCUGAAACAAAGCCAAUCAGCCGCUGAGGCCCAACAGGCAGAGGCUGGAAGCUUUCUGAGAAGUUUCAGGAGCUGCUGCCUUCCGGGAAGAAAGAGAAGCAUUGUGUUCAACCGGUAAAAGAUCCUGAAAUUUUUUAAGGGAACACCAAGUAGGGCCCAACAACUAAAAAAGUGAAGAAAACUACUUCAAGUAAGGCAAAGUUGAUCCUCAAAUUCAGAGCUCUUCUUUCCCAGCCCUACAAACAAGUUCAACAUCUUAAAUGUGGAAAAACAAGCCGGAUAAAUGAAACCACAAAACA